UACAGAGGGUGCAAGCGUUGUUCGGAAUUACUGGGCGUAAAGCGCGUGUAGGCGGCUGCGCAAGUCGGAUGUGAAAUCCCAUGGCUCAACCAUGGAAGUGCACCCGAAACUGCGUAGCUAGAGUCUCGGAGAGGAAGGUGGAAUGCUUGGUGUAGAGGUGAAAUUCGUAGAUAUCAAGCAGAACACCGGUGGCGAAGGCGGCCUUCUGGACGAUGACUGACGCUGAGACGCGAAAGCGUGGGGAGCAAACAGG
rnacentral:rRNA from 1 species